UACGGAGGGUGCAAGCGUUAUCCGGAUUCACUGGGCUUAAAGGGUGCGUAGGCGGGCUAUUAAGUCAGUGGUGAAAGCCCCAAGCUUAACUUGGGAACUGCCAUUGAUACUGAUGGUCUUGAGUACAUUUGAGGUGGGCGGAAUGUGUCAUGUAGCGGUGAAAUGCUUAGAUAUGACACAGAACACCGAUUGCGAAGGCAGCUCACUAAACUGUAACUGACGCUGAGGCACGAAAGCGUGGGGAGCAAACAGG
rnacentral:rRNA from 2 species